GACGAACGCUGGCGGCGUGCUUAACACAUGCAAGUCGAACGGAAAGGCCCUGCUUUUGUGGGGCGCUUGAGUGGCGAACGGGUGAGUAAAACGUGAGUAACCCGUCCCUGACUUUGGGAUAACUUUAGGAAACUGGGGCUAAUACCGGAUAGGAGCUCCUGCUGCAUGGUGGGGGGUGGAAAGUUUCGGCGGUUGGGGAUGGACUCGCGGCUUAUCAGCUUGUUGGUGAGGUAGUGGAUUACCAAGGUUUUGACGGGUAGCCGGCCUGGGAGGGUGACCGGCCACAUUGGGACUGAGGUACGGCCCAGACUCCUACGGGAGGCAGCAGUGGGGAAUAUUGCACAAUGAGCGGAAGCCUGAUGCAGCAACGCCGCGUGCGGGAUGACGGCCUUCGAGUUGUAAACCGCUUUCUCCUGUGACGAAGCGUGAGUGACGGUAAUGGGUAAGGAAGCACCGGCUAACUACGUG
rnacentral:rRNA from 1 species